AAGUUUGAGCGUGGCGUAAUGCAGAAUGAAACAAAACAGCGCUAGCAUUUUAUACUCAAGAGGAUCAUUAACUACUGACCAACUGCUCUCGUGAAAUUAGAGAGAGCAUACUGUAGGAUCACGGGAGACCUGCCUCCAUCAGCCCACAGAGGAUGUCUGCUUCACAAACAGCAAUGAACAAUUUUGAGGGUGCUGGUACAAGCAGCGAAAAAACAAGAUGCCUGAAGAGAAAUAUGAGGAGGGAAGG